GAUGAAGAACGUAGCGAAAUGCGAUAAGUAGUGUGAAUUGCAGAAUUCAGUGAAUCAUCGAAUCUUUGAACGCACAUUGCGCCCCUUGGUAUUCCAUGGGGCAUGCCUGUUCGAGCGUCAUUUGUACCUUCAAGCUUUGCUUGGUGUUGGGUGUUUGUCCAUUCUCUUGCAGAGGGACUCGCCUUAAAGUAAUUGGCAGCCAGUGUUUUGGUUUUGAAGCGCAGCACAAGUCGCGAUUCAACGCUAUACGCCAGCUUCCACAAGCCUUUUUCACUUUUGACCUCGGAUCAGGUAGGGAUACCCGCUGAACUUAAGCAUAUCAAUAAGCGGGGA
rnacentral:misc_RNA from 1 species